AUUCCUGUGGUUUAGAGGUUAUAACGUUUCGUUUACACCGAAAAGGUCCCGAGUUCGAUCCUCGGCAGGGAUA